rnacentral:rRNA from 1 species
GAUGAACGCUAGCGGCAGGCCUAAUACAUGCAAGUCGAACGAUAGAAGAGGGCUUGCUCUCUUCGAAAGUGGCGCACGGGUGCGUAACGCGUAUGCAACCUACCUUAAUCAGGGGGAUAGCCCGAAGAAAUUCGGAUUAACACCGCAUAAAAUCACAGUACAGCAUUGUACAAUGAUCAAAUAUUUAUAGGAUUAAGAUGGGCAUGCGUGACAUUAGCUAGUUGGCGGGGUAACGGCCCACCAAGGCGACGAUGUCUAGGGGAUCUGGAGAGGAGGACCCCCCACACUGGUACUGAGACACGGACCAGACUCCUACGGGAGGCAGCGGUAAGGAAUAUUGGUCAAUGGAGGCAACUCUGAACCAGCCAUGCCGCGUGCAGGAAGACAGCCCUCUGGGUCGUAAACUGCUUUUAUUCGGGAAUAAACCUACUUACGUGUAAGUAGCUGAAUGUACCGAAGGAAUAAGGAUCGGCUAACUCCGUGCCAGCCGCCGCGGUAA